GUGGGUUGCCUCUUCUUCCACAUUCUUGCAACAUCAUGAUCCCGGGAUGGCCGUCCUAACUCUACGCCUCGCUUCUCUACCCAAGAUGUAUUAAGGAGGGAAAGACAAGACCAUUGAGCUCUCGACUUGCCCCUUAUAUAAGGGAGACACAUUUUCCCAGAAGCCUAAGAGGACACCCUCUUCUUAUGAGUGGCCCAAACCAGACCACAUCGAACUCCAGGAAGACGGGGACAUUCUGCAUUGGGAUUUCCAGCUUCCAUAGUGAGAGGCAGUGAGAGAAAGAGGAAGGCCAGGAAUUUCUGGCCAACAACAGUGUUUGCUGGAAAAACCUUCACAGAGAAACCACAAGACAUCAGAAACGGAAAGUUACUCAAGCCAUUUUAGCCUGGGAAGUUUUUGAAAAUGGAGAAAAAUGAAACAUUUUAGGCUGAGUUCAAAACAUGGAGUUGGACAGAGCUAGACCCACCUUAGGAAAAACCUUAGGCUGGAAAGCCCUGUGCUGGAGGCAAAGCUUCUGUGUUCAGAGGCAUGGCUCCCAGUUCUGUGGCCCAAGGAAAGUCAGUCCCACAAACCUAGAUGAUGGGUUACAUUGUGGACUAGACAGAAAUCAAAGACUUUGCCGCUGAUAAUACGGUUUCAUUAGCUGUUAGGGAUUAAAAGCCAGAAGGGGGGUGGGGGGGGAUCUCCCACCUCAUGCUGAUCACACAAGCCCGUCAACCUAGGACAUGAUUUUGUCAGAAAUAAGGAGCCAAAACCACUUUCCCAUCAAGAAUGUUCUUUUCCGGAGGGAGGAGCCAAGAUGGCGGAACAGCAUGGAAGUUUUUUGCGCGUUUCGUAUCCAUGAAAUACAGCCAGACCAACACUAAACCAUCCUGCACACCUAGAAAACUGAUGGGAGGAUUAACACAACAAUCUUCACAACCUGAACCACAGAACUCAGCAGGUCAGUUGCUCUGGGAGAAGUCAGCUGCCAUGUCAUGAGCAAUCCUCUGGAGAGGCCCAUGCAGCAAGGAAUUAAAGCUCUGGCCAAUGGGCAUGUGAGCACACCAUCUUGGAAGUGGUUCCUCCAGCCCCACUCAAGCUUCAUAUGAUGUGUGUCCAGCUGACAUCCUGACUGAAACCACAUGAGAAACCUUGAGCCAGAACCACCCAGUUAGACCACACUUGGGUUCCAGACCCUCAGAAACGAUGUGAGAUAAUAAUAGUUUGUUGCUUUAAGCUGCUAAGUUUGGGAGUAACUUGAUCCACAGCAAUAGAUAACCAAUAUACCCUUUCAACCUGGAUCAUGAGCUUUAAGACACCAGGAAGAGGCUCAGCUUUCUGCUAUGUUGACCUCAUUCUCAGUCUCCUUAAAGCAAGGUGUCAUCCAGCAGCUCCAAACAUAUAAUUGAUCACCUUACCUCUCUAAUAGAGAAAGAAAGAACACGUCACUGCCAGCCAUUUGAGCAAAGUGCCAGUGACAACUCUCAUUGGUCCAGAUAGGGUCGUGGGGCCACCUCUGAAUCAAUCAUUGAAAUUCUGGUGACUUUUUUUGGUGCUAAAAGAUGGGAUGAAACCUGUUUGGCCACAUAGACCAUGAGAAAAAGACGGAUGGUUUCCCUUCCAAGAUAAAGAGGCCGUUGAAAGAAGACGGUAAGUGGAUGCCGAACAGACCAAAGCAACAAGUGUCCGCUCCACAUCCCAUAACAACCUUUUUCGAUGCCCUUUGAUGCCAUUGGGAUAUCUCCUGCCAAACGCAUUCUUCUCUAACUUUAUGGCCAGUGGUCCUGUAUUCGCCUCUUGCCCAGGAAAUGAAAUCUUCUUCAACACCAUUGACAUCACCAGCUGCUCGCUUCCCAUGUCCUCUUCUUUGUCUUCCAAAGUCCCAGCCAUCCGCUGAGUGAAAAGAUAGAAUACCACCUGUAUCCCCGCCCCUCCACCCAUCCUUCGGAGUCCGUUCGGAACUGCAAACCUUCCCGAGACGUGGUUCAGAGUUCCUUUGGCCACACCGUUCCUCUACACGUGCAUCAGAAGGAGUCCUGCCUGCACGUUCUGUGCAAAUAUUCCAUUGUGCUCCAGAAACAUGUGCCCCCGCCAGCGUGCUGCACCUGGUCUCAGAAGGGAAUCUGCUUAUUCUGGGAAUGCACAAGUUUGUUUGUUUUUCACCCGGCCAUGUCUGCUUCUCUGAUAUGUGUAAUCCUACAGUACCUGGCAUGGUGCUGAGGACACGCCAUAUAUUCAAGGAUUCAUGCCCUGUUUUCCUUCUUGCCCUAUCCAAGAGCCCUCAAAAAAACCCCAAACAGACCAAACAAAAUAAACUAAGCUGAAUUUGGAAUCAGGAAAGAGAUCCUGGGACUUCAUCUGUAAUGUAUUUUUCAAGCGAGGCGGUGGGGUAGGUGACUGCUUAUUGUAUUAUCAACGAGUCUUCUGAAAUGUUUCAUACAUUUAAAAGUUUGCAGGUUGCAACUCAAGCUGACCAACCGAAAAGCUAAUCCGAUCAUGUCACAACCCGCAUGGCUCCCCACAGCUCACAGGAGGACAACAGACGUUGUUGGCAUGUGAGGUCCAAGAUGUGGUCCCGUCUUCCUUUUCCUUAUCCAUUAAGGAUUGAAUGUUUGUGUCCCGACCCCACUCCGCCACCAAAAAUGUUACUAUGUUGAAGCUCUAAGUCCUAAUGAGAUUUUUUUUUUAACGUUUCUUUAUUCU